ensembl:snRNA U6 U6 spliceosomal RNA
UCGCUUUGGCAGCACAUAUACUGAAACUGGAAUGAUACAGAGAAGAUUAGUAUGGUCCCUGAGCAAGGAUGAAUGAAUAUUCAUGAAACAUUCCAUAUUUUU